CCCUUCUCUGGGCCAGGGCACUCCAAAUUAACCUGAAAACCGUUCAGGCCACGACAUGAAGUGGGGGCGGGUGGGACAUGGCUGACUAUGCCCUCCUCCCUUUUGGAAUUCAGGGAAAGCCAACACAGACCUUAAGUCUAAUGAGAAACACCAUCUAUUCUCUCUGAAGCCUGCUACCCCAAGGCUUCUUCUGCUGAUAAAACUUUGGUCUCC
rnacentral:lncRNA from 1 species